rnacentral:piRNA from 1 species
GAAACGUCCAAGGAUGGGCAACUU